UGUGAUAUCAAAUAUACCUCUUGAGCUUCCAUCCCGUGGCAACAAAUUCCGGCAACUUUGGUCGACUCCCGCGGCCAAUUUGAUGCCGGAGAACGCGACAUAUUUUCCGUAUAGAAAUUCAAGAUUUCCAUUGGACCUCAAAACUAUCAGCAAAGUUUAAAAAUCCAAAAACCCAUUGUUUGCAUAAUUGAACAGAAACGUUCCACUAUACAGCUAAAUUAAACCAGUCAUCAAUUCAGUUGUAACAAAGAAAGGAAUAAUGGAAGUAAAUAGUUAGGAUCACUUGUAUGUAAUAUAGACAACACAUAAUUAUAGAUUUUAAUCGAACAUAAAAUCGAUACUUAUCUCUUGAAGCGUGACCCGGAUAAUGCCCNNN
rnacentral:lncRNA from 1 species